rnacentral:rRNA from 1 species
GUGAGGAAUAUUGGACAAUGGAGGCAACUCUGAUCCAGCCAUGCCGCGUGAAGGACUAAGGCCCUAUGGGCUGUAAACUUCUUUAGACGCAGAGCAAUAAGGGCCACGCGUGGUCCGAUGAGAGUAUGCGUAGAAUAAGCAUCGGCUAACUCCGUGCCAGCAGCCGCGGUAAUACGGGGGAUGCGAGCGUUAUCCGGAUUCAUUGGGUUUAAAGGGUGCGUAGGCGGCUUUGCAAGUCAGCGGUGAAAGGCCCGGGCUCAACCCGGAAAGUGCCGUUGAUACUGUGAGGCUGGAAUGCGGAUGCUGUGGGAGGAAUGAGUGGUGUAGCGGUGAAAUGCAUAGAUAUCACUCAGAACACCGAUUGCGAAGGCAUCUCACAAAUCCGCAAUUGACGCUGAGGCACGAAAGCGUGGGGAUCGAACAGGAUUAGAAACCCUAGUAGUCC